UGAAUGGAGUUUUUUUCUCUGAUGUCAGCUGUCUGAGCCUUGCUGUGAACCAGGGUUUGUCGUAGUAAUAUAUAAAGCACUUACUUAAAGGUUUCCUCUUCUCCACAUUCACAGUAUCCUGAAUCACGUUUCCUCAUUCUUUUCAUUGUACAAUUGAGCCAUGAGCCAAAUCUCAUUCUAACUAUUCUAACUAUCAUUCAUAUAAAUUGGCCUGAUUCUAUAGGAAAUUUAAUCUAAACCUAUGAAGGCUUUUGCAGGCCUCUGUCCAAACUAAUGUACUAAAAAUACUAUUCAUUUUCCUAUACACAAGUUAUUAAGUCUUUCUGUUUAUCACAACAUUUGAUAACAAAACCAAACUUACAUCGCUAUUUAUUGAUUUUGAACCAUCUGUGUAUAUACAUUUAUGAAGUCAUUCUAAUUUUUACUAAUGUAUUUCAUUACUCCAUUGGCUUCACUGUUGUCCUCUCUCCUUUUCGUUAACAGGUUCAGAUCCACCUCUGCUUCUUUCAACAAACAUGGAAGAACUGAAAACGCUUCGGGGCAGCCAAUGACCAAGCUUCAAAUCCUGUCUCUAUGGAGACACAAAUAUGUGGUCACCACCGAAAUCUAGAGUGUUGCCUACUUAAUUCAGAAACAAAGAGGAAGAGGAUGCUCAAGGGCGUAUCUCUGUCAGCAAUGUGACCAAACCUUCGCCAGGCCAUACUCACUGAAGAAUCAUCAGAAGAUUCGCUCUGUAGAGAAACCAUAUAGCUGUGACCAGUGUGCCAAUACAUUUAAAACAAGAAGUAAACUAAAAGCCCAUCAGCAAAUUCAUACAAGAGAAAGACCAUACACUUGCACUGAAUGUGGAGCAGCUUUUAAAAGGUCAGAUACUUUGAAAGUCCACUGUUUUGUUCACACUAGCAGAAACCUUAUUGUUGUAAAGAGUGUGGUAAAGCGUUCUAUAAUCACUCUAAGUUAGUUAGACACCAACGUGUUCACACUGGAGAGAAACCUUAUUUGUGCAAAAAGUGUGGAAAAGCAUUGUCUUAUUGCAGUAGCUUAGUGAUACAUCAGUGUGUUCACACUGGAGAGAAACUUUACUCAUGUGAACUAUGGGGUGCCAAAUGUACUGUAAAAGUAGAACCUAUAACUAGUUUUCUCACAUUUAACUAAAUGACACAACAUGUUUUCUCACAUUUAGUUAAAUGUGCAAAA